rnacentral:rRNA from 1 species
CAAUAGCGUAUAUUUAAGUUGUUGCAGUUAAAAAGCUCGUAGUUGGAUUUCGGUUGAGAACGGCCGGUCCGCCGUUUGGUGUGCACUGGCCGGUUUCAACUUCCUGUAGAGGACGCGCUCUGGCUUCACGGCUGGACGCGGAGUCUACGUGGUUACUUUGAAAAAAUUAGAGUGUUCAAAGCGGGCUUACGCUUGAAUAUUUCAGCAUGGAAUAACACUAUAGGACUCCUGUCCUAUUUCGUUGGUCUCGGGACGGGAGUAAUGAUUAAGAGGAACAGUUGGGGGCAUUCGUAUUUCAUUGUCAGAGGUGAAAUUCUUGGAUUUAUGAAAGACGAACUUCUGCGAAAGCAUUUGCCAAGGAUGUUUUCAUUAA